UGCCGGUCUAAUACAAAACAGGGUUAAUAUUCAUUUCACAUUAAUAUGUUCUCGUACGAAUAUGCACCUGUCCCAAGUCAGGAGCCUGUAAUUCAGUGGUCGUCUGUUGAUGUGUUACAUACCGGUAAUUUCGUUCAUUUUUUGUACAUAAAUUAUGCCGUUAGUUUUCUCGUUUGAAUUGUUUAACAUUUGUCAUUUCGGGGCCUUUUAUAGCUGAUUAUGCGGUAUGGGCUUUGCUCAUUGUUGAAGGCCGUACGGUGACCUAUAGUUGUUAAUUUCUGUGUCAUUUGGUGUCUUGUCGAGAGUUGUCUCAUAGGCAAUCAUACCACAUAGUCUUUUAUUUAUCAAUUUUCCGCUGGACGUCAAGCAUACAUUCAUAAUCAUGUAAGUGUGCAAUAAAUGCAUGAAUAAAAAUAAAAAGAUGCAAG
rnacentral:lncRNA from 1 species